AUUGAACGCUGGCGGCAGGCCUAACACAUGCAAGUCGAGCGGAUGAAGGGAGCUUGCUCCUGGAUUCAGCGGCGGACGGGUGAGUAAUGCCUAGGAAUCUGCCUUGCAUUGGGGGAUAACGUCCGGAAACGGGCGCUAAUACCGCAUACGUCCAUAGGGAGAAAGGGGGGGAUCUUCGGACCUCACGCUAUCAGAUGAGCCUAGGUCGGAUUAGCUAGUUGGUGAGGUAAGGGCCUACCAAGGCGACGAUCCGUAACUGGUCUGAGAGGAUGAUCAGUCACACUGGAACUGAGACACGGUCCAGACUCCUACGGGAGGCAGCAGUGGGGAAUAUUGGACAAAGGGCGAAAGCCUGAUCCAGCCAUGCCGCGUGUGUGAAGAAGGUCUUCGGAUUGUAAAGCACUUUAAGUUGGGAGGAAGGGCAGUAAGUUAAUACCUUGCUGUUUUGACGUUACCAACAGAAUAAGCACCGGCUAACUUCGUG
rnacentral:rRNA from 1 species